CCGACUUACGUUGAAAAGUGAGCGGAUGAACUGAGGGUAGCGGAGAAAUUCCAAUCGAACCUGGAGAUAGCUGGUUCUCUCCGAAAUAGCUUUAUGGCUAGCCUCAAGUGAUGAUUAUUGGAGGUAGAGCACUGUUUGGACGAGGGGCCCCUCUCGGGUUACCGAAUUCAGACAAACUCCGAAUGCCAAUUAAUUUAACUUGGGAGUCAGAACAUGGGUGAUAAGGUCCGUGUUCGAAAGGGAAACAGCCCAGACCACCAGCUAAGGUCCCAAAAUAUAUGUUAAGUGGAAAAGGAUGUGGCGUUGCCCAGACAACUAGGAUGUUGGCUUAGAAGCAGCCAUCAUUUAAAGAGUGCGUAAUAGCUCACUAGUCGAGUGACACUGCGCCGAAAAUGUACCGGGGCUAAACAUAUUACCGAAGCUGUGGAUUGUCCUUUGGACAAUGGUAGGAGAGCGUUCUAAGGACGUUGAAGCAUGAUCGUAAGGACAUGUGGAGCGCUUAGAAGUGAGAAUGCCGGUGUGAGUAGCGAAAGACGGGUGAGAAUCCCGUCCACCGAUU
rnacentral:rRNA from 2 species